rnacentral:rRNA from 1 species
GUCGAGCGAGAACCCCGCAAGGGGGGACAGCGGCAAACGGGGUAGUAACGGGUAGGCGACGUACCCUCGGGUCGGGGAUAGCCACGGGAAACUGUGGGUAAUACCCGAUAACCUCCGGAGGCGUGAUAGCUUCCGGAGCAAAGGUGUGAUUCCACCGGAGGAGCGGCCUGCCUCGUAUUAGCUGGUUGGUGAGGUAACGGCUCACCAAGGCGACGAUGCGUAGGGGGUGUGAGAGCAUGACCCCCACCACUGGGACUGAGAUACUGCCCAGACACCUACGGGUGGCUGCAGUCGAGAAUCUUCGGCAAUGGGCGCAAGCCUGACCGAGCGACGCCGCGUGUGGGAUGAAGGCCCUUGGGUUGUAAACCACUGUCAGAGGGGAUGAAGUGCCAGAGAGCUAUCUCUCUGGUUUGACAUAGCCUCAGAGGAAGCACGGGCUAAGUUCGUGCCAGCAGCCGCGGUAAUACGAACUGUGCGAACGUUAUUCGGAAUCACUGGGCUUACAGGGUGCGUAGGCGGCCUGUUAAGUAGGGUGUGAAAGCCCCCGGCUCAACCGGGGAAUUGCGCCCUAAACUGGCGGGCUGGAGUGAGAUAGGGGUGUGUGGAACUUCCGGUGGAGCGGUGAAAUGUGUUGAUAUCGGAAGGAACGCCGGUGGCGAAAGCGACACACUGGAUCUUGUCUGACGCUGAGGCACGAAAGCCA